AACCGAGAACUCCUACGGGAGGCAGCAGUAGGGAAUCUUCCGCAAUGGGCGAAAGCCUGACGGAGCAACGCCGCGUGAGUGAUGAAGGUCUUCGGAUCGUAAAACUCUGUUAUUAGGGAAGAACAAAUGUGUAAGUAACUAUGCACAUCUUGACGGUACCUAAUCAGAAAGCCACGGCUAACUACGUGCCAGCAGCCGCGGUAAUACGUAGGUGGCAAGCGUUAUCCGGAAUUAUUGGGCGUAAAGCGCGCGUAGGCGGUUUUUUAAGUCUGAUGUGAAAGCCCACGGCUCAACCGUGGAGGGUCAUUGGAAACUGGAAAACUUGAGUGCAGAAGAGGAAAGUGGAAUUCCAUGUGUAGCGGUGAAAUGCGCAGAGAUAUGGAGGAACACCAGUGGCGAAGGCGACUUUCUGGUCUGUAACUGACGCUGAUGUGCGAAAGCGUGGGGAUCAAACAGGAUUAGAAACCCGAGUAGUCCGACUGAGA
rnacentral:rRNA from 1 species